rnacentral:rRNA from 1 species
UAAAUGGCCGCAGUAAUCUGACUGUGCAAAGGUAGCGUAAUCAUUUGUUUAAUAAUUUUAAACUAGAAUGAAAGGAAUAAAGUAUGCUAACUAUUAAUUUUGCUGGUCCAUAAAUCCUUACUUAAGUGCAAAAACUUAAAUUAACUAUAUAAACGAGAAGACCCUAGGAACUUGAAUAUUUCUAUUGGGACAAUAUAAAUCCAUAUUCGCUCAUCAAGCAUCAAAAUUAAAUUAAAAAAGUUACCCUAGGGAUAACAGCACAAUAGCUACUAAGAGACCUAAUCUAAAUAGCUGAUUAUGACCUCGAUGUUGAAUCAUUCACAUGAUAUAACUUGCAGAAGAUUUAUGUGCGCGUCUGUUCGACGAUUGUAUAAUACGUGAUUUGAGUUUAAACCGUCGUAAGACAGGUUGGAUUCUCUUU